CCUACGGGCGGCAGCAGUGAGGAAUAUUGGUCAAUGGACGAGAGUCUGAACCAGCCAAGUAGCGUGAAUGAUGACUGCCCUCUGGGUUGUAAACUUCUUUUAUAUGGGAAUAAAAUGUUCCACGUGUGGGAUUUUGUAUGUACCAUAUGAAUAAGGAUCGGCUAACUCCGUGCCAGCAGCCGCGGUACUACGGAGGAUCCGAGCGUUAUCCGGAUUUAUUGGGUUUAAAGGGAGCGUAGGUGGAUUGUUAAGUCAGUUGUGAAAGUUUGCGGCUCAACCGUGAAAUUGCAGUUGAAACUGGCAGUCUGGAGUACAGUAGAGGUGGGCGGAAUUCGUGGUGUAGCGGUGAAAUGCUUAGAUAUCACGAAGAACUCCGAUGGCGAAGGCAGCUUACUGAACUGUGACUGACAUUGAGGCUCGAAAGUGUGGGUAUCAAACAGGAUUAGAUACCCUAGUAGUC
rnacentral:rRNA from 1 species